rnacentral:rRNA from 2 species
UACGGGGGGUGCAAGCGUUGUUCGGAUUUAUUGGGCGUAAAGCGCGUGUAGGCGGUUUUAUAAGUCUGAUGUGAAAGCCCUGGGCUCAACCCGGGAAGUGCAUUGGAUACUGUAAGACUUGAAUACGGGAGAGGGCAGUGGAAUUCCUAGUGUAGGAGUGAAAUCCGUAGAUAUUAGGAGGAACACCGGUGGCGAAGGCGGCUGCCUGGACCGAUAUUGACGCUGAGACGCGAAAGCGUGGGUAGCAAACAGG